AUGAUGGCCAACCACGAGCUGGUUCUUGGGCACGGGCAGGACGCCGCGGAGCUAGCGCUGGGGCAGAGCCACCACGACUUCGGGCAGGAUCAUCACCACCACCAUCAUCACCAUGUGCUGGGCCUGGGCCACAGCCAUGACCUCGGCCUAGGCCAUCCGCACGACCACGAUCUUGUGCUCGGCCAGUCGCACGAGCAUGAUCAUGAUCAUGACCUCGUCCUCGGCCACCACCACGACGGCCAGCUCGUCCUCAGGCACGACCACCACCAUGGCCACACCAGUGAUCUUGCUCUGGGGCAAGGGCAUGAGGACGAGUCGAUGGACGACGGGGAAGACCACCAUGACCUCGGUGAUUUGGCGCUCACCGAGCCUCAUCCCCUCGGCGACGAUGAUAAUCUUGAUCAUCUCUCGCUCGAGCAGGCCCACGACCUCGCCCUCGAGCCGGGCGAUGACUACUCGCAGGGCCCUCUUGCCGUUGCCCCUGUCGUCCAGUCGCGGAUGAUGGUUGUGAGCACCGAGUUUCAGCUUGUGGUGGGCCAGGAGUUCCCGGAUGUCAUGAGCUGCCGCAGGGCUAUCCGCAACACUGCCAUUGCCUGCCACUUCGAGAUUCAGACGGUCAAGUCUGACAAGUCGCGGUUCACUGCUAAGUGCGCUGCUGAGGGCUGCCCGUGGCGCAUCCAUGCUGCAAAGCUUCCUGGAGUGCCCACUUUCUCCAUCAGAACUAUACUUGAUAAACAUACUUGUGUGGGGAUAAACCAUCUUGGCCACCAGCAGGCAUCUGUUCAGUGGGUUGCAAGUACUGUCGAAGAGAGGCUGCGAGAGAAUCCACACUGCAAGCCUAAGGAAAUUUUGGAAGAAAUCCACAAGUCACAUGGCAUCACACUAUCGUACAAGCAAGCCUGGAGAGGGAAAGAGCGGAUCAUGGCAGCAGUUCGCGGGUCUUUUGAAGAAGGGUACCGAAUCCUGCCUGAGUACUGUAGGCAGGUGGAAAGAACAAACCCAGGAAGCAUCGCUAGGGUCUACGGGAACCCAGAUGAUAACUGCUUCCGGCGACUCUUCAUAUCAUUCUAUGCGUCGAUAUAUGGUUUUGUAAAUGCAUGCCGUCCGCUCAUUGGUCUUGAUAGAACUACUCUGAAAAACAAGUAUCUUGGUACCUUGUUUCUUGCCUCUGCUUUUGAUGGUGAUGGUGCUCUGUUUCCUCUGGCGUUUGGCGUGGUUGAUGAGGAGACAGAUGAGAAUUGGAUAUGGUUUUUGUCUGAGCUGCAUGAGUUGCUGGAGAAGAACACAGAGAACAUGCCAAGGCUUACAAUUUUGUCAGAUAGGCGCAAGGGUAUUGUUGAUGGAGUUGAUUUCAACUUCCCAACUGCAUUCCAUGGGUUCUGUAUGCGCCAUGUCAGUGAAACUUUCCAGAAAGAGUUCAACAAUUCAGUGCUUGUCAACCUUCUCUGGGAAGCUGCCAAUGCGCUGACUGUGAUAGAGUUCGAAACCAAGCUACUAGAGAUAGAGGACACAUCACAAGAGGCUGUUUGUUGGAUCAGACGCCUACCUCCUCGCCUCUGGGCCACCGCUUACUUUGAGGGGAUACGGUAUGGUCACCUGACAGCAAAUACCAUGGAGUCAAUGAAUUCUUGGAUACUGGACGCAUCUGUCCUUCCCAUAAAUCAGAUGAUGGAGGUCCUCCGUCGCCAGCUCAUGACGUGGUUCAACGAGCGGCGUGAAGCGAGCAUGCAGUGGGCAACCAUCCUCGUGCCCACGGCCGAGCGCCGCGUGCAGGAGGCCAUCGAGCGCGCGCGGGGCUUCCAGGUGGCCCGCGCCAACGAGGCGGAGUUCGAGGUCAUCUCGCCCCAUGAGGGGACGAACGUGGUGGACAUCCGCAACAGGUGCUGCCUGUGCCGCGGGUGGCAGCUGUACGGCGCGCCGUGCUCCCACGGCGUGGCGGCGCUGCUCUCGUGCAGGCAGAACGUGCACCGCUACACGGAGAGCUGCUUCACGGUCGCGACGUACCGCAAGACCUACUCGCAGACCAUACACCCGAUCCCGGACAAGACCCUCUGGAACGAGGGCCAGCCCGCCGAGGACAGGCUGGAGGUGAUCAUCAACCCGCCAAAGUCGCUGCGCCCCCCCGGGCGGCCGAGGAAGACGAGGGUCCGCGCGGAGGACCUGGGCCGGGUCAAGCGGGUCGUGCACUGCAGCCGCUGCAACCAGACGGGCCACUUCAGGACCACCUGCGCCGCUCCCAUAUGA
rnacentral:rRNA from 1 species